AGCUAAUCUGUCCAGAAGUUCCAUGAUCUUCAGAAGAGAUCAACCCUUUGCUCAUAAUUGACAAAUUGUUCCCAGAUAUCAGACAUCAUCAGGCUUGUUAUUUCCAAAGUGCCAUAAACAGAAAAGCAGAUGAGACAUGAAAGAAGUGCUCCUUUCAUCUUGGUAAACACAUUCUGUAUUACAAGGGACUGGUCUGCUUAAGAAACAGAUGGUGGCUAUCUGUUGAAAGCGUACAUACCACAUCUUUGAAAGAGUGCUGUGAAGGUAACAACAGCAAAAAGAAAAGGCUCUGAAAUUAAGUUGUAUUCUUGGUAGAUAAAACCAAAAUAGCUAAUUUAAUACACUCCGUAUAGUAUAAUGAGAAAUAUGAAUCAAAUAUUUAAAUUAUUUGUGGAAUUAACAUAAUAUAUCAAUGUAUUAAUACUGAUAAGGUUUCCAGCUAUUUAUUUUUAUUCUUCUUCUUCUUUUUGUGUAGAGGAUUUCAUUGCCCCUCAGAUGUCACUGAAAGAAACCUAUGACCCCCUGAAAUAAUGUGAUCACAAUUUCUUACCUCUAAUAAGCCAUUAUCUACAAGAAAUCCAAAUGAAUCAACUUUAUUAAGCAUAUGCUCACUAAUGAACAAAAUAUUUUAACUUACUACUUAUUAAAGAAAUAUAAAUGUAUUUUUAAUUUUUAAUUGAUGUAUUUUAGAAGCAGAGACAAAGACUGAAAGAGAGAUAGAGAGAGUAUUCCCAUAGCUGAUGUACUCCAAAAAUGUCUGCAAUGGCCUCGGGCCAGAAGCCAAAGCCAGGAAUAAGUAGGUUAAUCUGGGGGUUCCAUGUGGGUAGCAGAAACCCAGCUACUUGAGUUACCACCACUGCCUCUCAGGUCUGCAUUGGCAGGAGGCUCCAGUCAGAUGGAAAGGUGGAGCUUAAAUGUGAGAUGAAAAUCAUCAAGAACUGUCGUGAGUGUUAUAGCAGAAGCCAGAU
rnacentral:lncRNA from 1 species